GGCACGGUGGAGCAGUGGUUAGCACUACCGCCUCACAGCAAGAAGGUUGUGGGUUGGAAUCCAGCCUGUGGCC